UUGUAGUCCUCUCUAAUGCCAUGUUCUGUGUAUAAGAAUGUAACAACAUGGCCUCGCUUAUGGACGAGAUUAAAUAGAAAGUUUUAUAUAUCCUAGCGUUUGAAAUUAUUUAAAAGAUUUUUCAAAUGCACGAGGAACAUAAAACUACACCU
rfam:Glossina austeni unplaced genomic scaffold Scaffold116, whole genome shotgun sequence.